rnacentral:rRNA from 1 species
GACGUAGGUGGCGAACGUUAUCCGGAAUUAUUGGGCGUAAAGGGCUCGUAGGCGGCCAACUAAGUCGGAUGUGAAAUCCCCAGGCUUAACCUGGGAACUGCAUCCGAUACUGGAUGGCUUGAAUCCGGGAGAGGGAUGCAGAAUUCCAGGUGUAGCGGUGAAAUGCGUAGAUAUCUGGAGGAAUACCGGUGGCGAAGGCGGCAUCCUGGACCGGCAUUGACGCUGAUGAGCGAAAGCUAGGGGAGCAAACGGG